GUGGGGAAUAUUGGACAAUGGGCGCAAGCCUGAUCCAGCCAUGCCGCGUGAGUGAUGAAGGCCUUAGGGUUGUAAAGCUCUUUCGUCAGGGAAGAUAAUGACGGUACCUGAAGAAGAAGCCCCGGCUAACUUCGUGCCAGCAGCCGCGGUAAUACGAAGGGGGCUAGCGUUGCUCGGAAUCACUGGGCGUAAAGCGCGCGUAGGCGGCUUUCUAAGUCAGGGGUGAAAUCCUGGAGCUCAACUCCAGAACUGCCUUUGAUACUGGAGAGCUUGAGUUCGGGAGAGGUGAGUGGAACUGCGAGUGUAGAGGUGAAAUUCGUAGAUAUUCGGAAGAACACCAGUGGCGAAGGCGACUCACUGGCCCGUUACUGACGCUGAGGCGCGAAAGCGUGGGGAGCAAACAGGAUUAGAUACCCCAGUAGUCC
rnacentral:rRNA from 1 species